CCACAGCACCGUCGAUGGUCAGCGGCAGGUGCUGGGUGUGACCCUUCCGGAAGUCAACAACAAUCUCCUUGGUCUUGUCGACGUUCAGCAGGAGAUUGUUGUCCCUGCACCACGUCAACCAAGUCUCAGUGAACACGAGCACACAGCAGUCACGCACUGUCCGGUUUGUAGAUCUCAGCAUGCGAUUGUAAUCCAUUUUGUUGUCCAGCGAUCGAACGUUCGCCAGAAGAAUGGAAGGCACGGCGAGCUGGGUUGGCCGCCAGCCUGGCCCGGACGCACCCACGCUUGCCCCUCUUCAGCGUCCUCGCACACCGCUUUCGACGCUUCCCAACCGGGGGAGGAAUAGCAGACGAGUCCGGCGACGCUUCAGGACGUAGCAGUCCGAGCUCCUUUAAUGUCCCCGCAUCAAAGUCCAGAACUCGACAAAACUCGCUUUCGCCAAUGUCGAGCAGAACCUGCCUGCCGUACUUGUAGCACGACUCAGUACGACGAGACGAACACAUAAAACUGCCGGACAAACACUCAUUAGACGAACAAAACACCGUUCGGGCGGGACAGAGAGAGGUCGCUGCGCAUGCACGCGCCGUCAUCUUGGCCAUUGUAUGUGUACCUGUGGGUCUUAGGAAAACAGUUGGGAUGUGGCAGCACUAAUUUACGGCAGGACGCCACAAAUGUGGCCCGAGACAGAUGGAAAGAGGGAGUGAGAGAAGAAAGGGGGGGCUAACUCGUAAAUAAUGAGGAGAUAUUGGGAGUAAUCUGUUGGUCCUUUCUUUAAGACCCUUUAAAUCAUUUCCUGGAGUAGAUAGGUUAGCAACACGAGAGAUUUAGAGGUUGAACAGAAAGACAGUUAAAGGAAAACAGUUUUGAUUUUAACUGCAGGCUAACAGGAGCAUGAGAAAGGAGAGCUGAGAAGGUGCGAUCCAAUUUGAUCGGGGAGAUUGGAAAUUCACAGCACCAUAUUCUAAGUCGCAUUUUUGAGCAAGCAUGACACAGGUAAUGCAGUUUGAGAGAUAAAGACAUAGAUCAGGGCUAGAUGUGGAACGCAGACCUCUGAGUUAAUUUUGAAUAAUGUUACUGAAGACAUAAUGUACUGUCCCAUUAAAUUGGAACUAUAGACAAAACGUAGCUCGACAAUAGGAUGAGUUGCAGAUAUAAAGACGAGAUCGCUGUUACUAGGAGAAUUUGACAUUUGGUAAGCAAACGUUACUAGUGAAUGGAUGGCAGCAGCUACAUUUGGAGAUAGUCUUACAAGUUUGAUGUCCCAGUCUGUCACUCUCAGUGCCAGGAUCCCUGAAACUCGAUCCCGAGACUCCGCCUGCAGCCGUGGACGACUACAAAACGGUGCCUGGCUUUGAGGCACUUUUGACCUUUCUCAAGGACAAAGAAAGACUGUUGUGCUUGGAGGGGGCAAGUACACUCCGGAGGAAAGACGACAUCCUCCGGGACAAGAAAAGACAGUGAGAAGCGGAGGAACUCACAAUGUUGAAAAUGGACUCAUUUGAACAAUGGACUAAUUCGAGAGUGAUGGAUGGGUUGGCUCUGAAGCAACAACAAAAGAAUACCAACUUGGGAGUGUGAGGUUCUGCAAAAGAAGUGUCCGACGGCCAAAUCGCACUCCUUGCUGUGGGGUUGCUAAACUUGGUGGAGCUUGGGUCAAAGUGGACAGGAGCUUCAUUGUGCACUGAGUUUGACAGAACUGAGGAGAUUUGUUAAAAAAUUGAAUCAUGCGUAGAGCUACAGAGAGAAGCAUCAUGGUCAGAGAUUGGACAGAUUUGGAUAAAACAAAUAGACUAAAACAGUGAGAAACAAGAGCGAGAUCUGAUAUUUUGGCUCGUCAGGCAUAAGAUGUAGAAAUUGAGUUAGAUGCAUUUUAGAAUAGGACAUUUGGACUAAAGUGGAUUCAGUCAAGAGGAAGCUAGGACGCUCAAUGUCUAACCCUGUCCCUAACCCUACUCAAGACGAUAGAGGUUUGUUGCACCAUAGUGGAGGUUGGGUGGUCAGAAAGUUGGAUACUUAAAUUUUUGACUUUCACACAAUCAUGCAUAGGAGUCGCAAAAGGCCACAGGUAACAAGAUAAUGAUUGAGAUAGGGCUCAAUUUCAACUGCACCGACAUGGCAAAGUAGAAGCAAGAGAGCUGAGUAAGGGAUUAUAUGCUAAACAGUCCGCUAUAGAGUUACCAAUAGGAGAUUCUAUCAAAAGAAGUACUAAGAGGUGGAGGUGAAGAUAACAGGAGGACGUAGAUAUUCGGAGGUUUGAUAAGGGCAAACUCCAUUGUCGAAGAAAGGAUUAGAGCAAGUAGGAACGGGGGUAUUUUGGCAUUUUAACAGGGAUUGACAGCAAGGGAGAUUGAGGAUAAAAGAUCUGGACAGCAAUGACGUAAAUUACAUUAAAAACUGCUCAAUCGAGGGAGAGGGCUUGGCGCUCCCUGUGUGGAGGUGCAGCUUUGCAGAAGGGGGUCAGACCGCGCGAGUGAGUGAAUGAAAGGAGUGGAAAUAGGCGACGACUUAAGGAAGCAGGGAGAGGUGCUGGAUGGUGUGACAGGCAGGAUUUUUAGGAAGAAAAAAAAAAAGGGGGGAGUGAGACUCGCCAAGAGGGGCAAUAAAGAGAAGCAGACUGAGAAACAUAUUUGAGCAAGACAACAGGAAAAAGGGGGAGAGCCGAAUGAUGACGUAAAAAGCCAGAGGGAAUAGUCUGACCCAUCUUUAUUGAAUUUAAUUAGGAUGAGUAAUAGAGAUCGAGUUUGUAGGAGCAAUAUGAGGGUAUGGAGGCUCCCUCAAAACGCGCGUCCCACAGUUAGUCCCUCAGAUGGACAUAUAUGACAAUUUGCGAUGAAUCUGAUGGGCGAGUUUAUGGAAAAUUUAAUUGGAGAUUUUACAAUAGGUCAUGUUGACGAGUAUGUCAGAAUGUGAAGAGUUACUAUUAGGAGUCAAUGUUUGCCUGCACACUAACAUACUAACUUUGCUUGGUUUGGAGGGAGAGUUGAGUGAUAGAGACGGAUGAGUGUGUCUGUGAGUGUGUGGAUGGGCGAAUGCGCGUGUGAUCGUCUAUGACGGUGUGUGCGCAGUAUGAUUGGCCAGAGAGGUCUGAAGUUGGGGCGAUGUGUUUGCAAUUGAGGAUAAAAUCCCUCUCACCUGAAGGGGUGGUACAGAUCGGAGGGACUGGAACUGGUAAGUGAUGAGUUCUGACCGGAACCAUGGUUCAAUGAUCAAUCAGGGGCACCAUCGACAACAAAACGGUUCGAUGGAGAAGGCCCAUUUAUGUGACAUGGUCAGACAAGACAGAACUAGUAGCGAACAUUAAGACUUUGGACGAUUUGACGUGUGACGACUUUGAGCUCACCCAACGGGGUGACGGACUAGGGGGACGGUGACCAAAUGUUUGACGCUUGAGCUUGCUUGCGACAUGAGCGAGCUCUGCUUUGUUUUUCUGUGUGACUUGAUUUCUUUGCAGCAGCAACGGCCACCAGCCAAGGAGCGGAUUGCGCGUUGCUUGCGUAACUUGUUUUCGGUCUUGCAGGUUGUCGAUUGCGUUCGUGGAAAGUUUGUGUUGAAUUUACAAGAAUAUGUUAACCCUUGCCCUUUUGGUUUUUAUGAUGAACUUAUCGAUGACAUGGUUUUCAGGACAUGAUCCGCGGGCGCCAGGAUUCAUUUUAUUUCAUUUUGAUACUUGAUGUCUGUUUUUGUGUGUACAAAUGUCCGCUGUCAGCAGGGCUAUAAGCUCACUGACAGGAGUGCGAUGAUUUUUGUUUGUGUUGCCGAGUGUGUGGUGGACAGUCAAGUUUCAGGGACUUGGGGUGACGGUUCCGGGGCCCAGAUGGGAGCUAGAGGUUCCGCAUAGGCCUGGCUACAAUGAGUGUGGUGAUGAGGGGGGACACCUUGCAGGUUCCUUUUGAUACGUAAUGACACAUUGGGUGAAUGUGUAAAAAGGGGGAGUGAUAAAACAGAAAUGGGUGAGUUGGUUGCAAUUUGUAAUUGUGAUAUACAAAGUUUUUUUUCCAAAUUCACUUGUUUUUAAGCUUUAACAGGACACGCCAGAAUUCAACUAGCAGUGAUGGAAGGAGCAGAAGAAGCAUCUUGAAAGAAAGGGAGUUAACGGGAAACAGCAACCUGGAAGGGAUGCGAAGCGUGGUAACAAUUUAGUGACAAUAAGGUUUAAGGUUUUUCAAUGUCAAAGCACGAAGGACAAAUCAUACAGUGAUUAGGGAAUGGACAGUGGCACGAUACACAACAAAAGUUUGAAAGGUCGUUGAAUGUCGGAGGAAGACGGGGCCAGAAACAAGGAAUGGGGACAUUUCUGAACGCGUGACUGCAUUAGAGCUGCUAUUACAGGGCAAAUGUUUAAUUACCGUUUUUUUCCAUGUGUAAUGCGCAAAAUUUAACUAAUUUAUUGUCCUAAAAUCUGGGGUGCGCAUUGUACAUGGGUACAAUUUUUUAUUUAAAAAAAUAAAUAAAUUAUUUUUUAUUUUUUUUGUAAGAGAAUCAUGGUACAACAAUUUUUGAAGAAAAUCUUGUCACGGAUGGAGUGUGGAAAGGUACAGGGCGACCAAGUGCAGCUUGGACCAGGGUUCAUUGGAGGAACUCAAAACACAGACUUGGUAAACUAACAUAACUCUCUAACAAAACCAACAACAGGACUGAUCGACAAAGACGUGGAACAAAAAGACAGCGUGACAUUACCAAAGACAGGAACAGAAACCUGUGUUAUUGUCAAAUAUUGUUUGUUUUUUAAUCUCCAUCGCGGACUGGACGUCAUACGGAGGCAGUAUCACUGCGCAUGCACGCUAUGGAUCCGAUGCGAAUAGUCCUCUUCUUGACUGACAAUCAAUGUGAUAGUUUAAUACAAUCAGCAAAUAACAAAAUGCGUAUUACAGGUAAUAUUUUAUUUCACAACACUUUGCCUUGUUCCUUUUCUCUCUGCUGUUCACUUCAAACACGCUCCAUACGAACGCAAUCCUCUCGUAUCAGACGCUUGCUCGAUCACCUGCUCGUUUGCUGUCACAAUGUACCCUACACAAAUCUGAAACAUUUGUUGCGGCUCCGAGGGGCAAGUUUUGGUUUCCAAGGGUGUUUCUAUUCCUCUUCAACUUCUCUCCCAUACAGAGCCGCCUUUUUCACAUGUCCGCACAUCACUUUCCUCUUUUCAUUUUAAACGAACUGAUCGCGGCGGUGCCUUUACGGGCAGUCGGAGAAAUCAACGCCAACACAAAAAAAUACAUCCACCCUGGUUAAGACCAUACCAAAUACUAUAAAAAUGGGACCCAUUGCCUCCCUGCUUGGCACUCAGCAUUAAGGGUUGGAAUUGGGGGUUAGAAGGAGUGGAGCUCUUUACAAGCCCUAGGCCUCGUCUCCCUCCUUGCACAGUUAUUGAUAUAAUAAUAUGUGCUAAACAAUAAACUAACUAACUAAAGAAACACGGACUUCAGCAGAUCCGCCGCGCUGUGCUUUGUGGAAACGUGGCUUAGUGAACGAACCCCCCACCACGCCGUCGAGCUAGCCGGGUUCAGGCUAACGCGAGCAGAUCGCAGCGCGGAGCUCUCCGGAAAAUCAAAGGGAGGUGGUCUCUGUUUCUACAUUAAUGAACGUUGGUGUACUGAUGUCACGGUGUUGAAAGAGUUUUGCAGCCCUCUCCUAGAAACACUUUUCAUAAACUGCCGGCCGUUCUAUUCACCACGGGAGUUCUCCUCGAUCGUCAUGGCGGCUGUUUACAUCCCACCACACGCACGUGCGAGUGAAGCCACGCAGAUGCUGGCUGACCAGGUAACAGACAUGGAGAAACUUCUACUAAACUCACUAAUCAUUGUUCUGGGUGAUCUUAACAGGGCGAACCUCGCACACGAACUCCCCAGAUACAGACAGCACGUAACGUAUCCCACCACAGGGGCACAGACUCUGGACCACUGCUACACCGUGAUCAAGGAUGCAUACCACUCUGCGGCUCGUGCAGCUUUAGGACUCUCAGACCACUGUCUAGUUCAUCUGAUCCCGGCCUACAGGCAGAAACUAAAAACUUCUAAGCCUGUGGUGAGGACUGUGAGGAAGUGGACAGUGGAGUCAAGGCAGGACCUCCAAGCCUGCUUUGACUGCACCGAUUGGGGAGCUUUCGAAGCUGCAACUUCAGACUUACAUGAACUCACUGACACUGUCACAUCAUACAGCAGUUUUUGUGAGGAUCUGUGUGUGCAGACUAAGACCUUCUGCACGUACAACGACAAACCUUGGUUUACACCAAACCUCAGGAGGCUGCGCAAAGUCAAGGAGGAGGCCUACAGGAGCGGCGACCGCGACCUGUUCAGGCAGACCAGAAACACACUGAACCGAGAGGUCAAGAAACCCAGGAGGUGUUACGGGGAGAACCUGAAGAGACACCUCUCUGACAAUCCUGAUCCCUCAACGGUGUGGAAAGGUCUGCAGAGCAUCACGGGCUACAAGAAACGAACCCCCCGUCCUGUGGAGAGCCCAAGGCUUGCUAACCAGCUAAACAAGUUCUACUGCAGGUUUGAUCGGUCCUCCCACACAACGGGACUUCCUGCAGCACAAUCUACAUACUCACCUCUCCCCGCAACUGCUCUGUCCACACCUCUAUCAUCGUUGUCACCCACUCUCUCUCUUGCAGAGGCCGCGACCGCACUCCAGGUACGCGAGGAGGAAGUGCGCCAGAUGUUCCGGAGACAAAAGACCAGGAAGGCACCGGGCCCAGACGGCGUGUCACCUUCCUGCUUGAAAGUCUGCGCUGAGCAGCUGGUGCCCACCUUUGCACGGAUCUUCAACCGUUCUCUGGAGCUGUGUAAGGUGCCCUUGUGCUUCAAGAGCUCCACCAUCGUUCCAGUGGCCAAGAAGCCCGCCAUCACAGUUUGCCUACCGGUCAGUGGAUGAUGCGGUCAACAUGGGACUGCACUACAUCCUGCACCACCUGGACUCCCCAGGAACGUACGCCAUGAUCCUGUUCGUGGACUUCAGCUCGGCGUUCAACACCAUCGCUCCUGACAUCCUCCAACAGAAGCUCAUCCAGCUUGCGGUGCCUGCCUCCACCUGUCAGUGGAUCACCAGCUUCCUGACCAACAGGAGACAGCGUGUGACUCUUCUGUGAAGCUCCUGAAGUAUGCAGACGACACCACUCUCAUCGGACUGAUCCAGGACGGUGACGAGACUGCGUACAGACAGGAGGUGGAGCGGCUGGUCCAUUGGUGCAACCAAAACCAUCUGGAGCUGAACCCGCUCAAGACCGUGGAGAUGACAGUGGAUUUCAGGCGAGACCCUUCACCCCUUUUACCCCUCACUAUCCGCAGUAAUACUAUUCUCUCCACAGACACCUUCAAGAUCCUAGGAACCACAAUCUCUCGGGACCUGAAAUGGACCGGCCACAUAGACUCUGUCCGGAAGAAGGCCCAGCAGAGGCUGUACUUCCUGAGACAGCUCAAGAAGUUCAACCUGCCGCGAGAGCUUCUGAAGACCGAACAUCUCAACGACCACAUUGGGUGUGAUCUCAACGUCCCAGCACGACCCCGGGAAUUGUGCCUCCGGUGGCUUGGUGGUGCACGUCUCUUGUCGCACACAGUGUUCAAUCGUACCUGUGUUUUCGCCUCAAUCACACAGCUAAAAUUUCCAUCCUCCAUCGGAUCUGUUGCCACAAUAAAGUCCACGUUUUAUGGGACUUUCUAUUAUUAUUCUCUCGUGACAGCCGAUCAGUAAUGUCUAAGACAUCCUGUCUUGUUUUACGUGCCCUCUCUCGGGGCAUUUUCUUUCUCAUUCAUCAUUCACACCAGACAUGUCACUCAUACCGUUGUGCACAUUCCCCACUAAGUCUUAUGCUAUUUUUUCCAUUUUUAUUUGCCUUUUUUUCCUUUUUUCUAUUUUUAUUGGACAUUCUCAUUUUUUUAUUGGGGCUACUCCCCCUUCCAAAAUCCACAUCUCGGCCCAUUAACUUUCCCGCUUA